UCCUUAGUAGCUCAGAUGGUAAAGCAUAUGCCUGCAAUGCAGAAGACCUGGGUUCAAUCACCAGGUUGGGAA
rfam:Ovis aries breed Texel chromosome 2, whole genome shotgun sequence.